UACGGGGGGGGCAAGCGUUGUUCGGAAUUACUGGGCGUAAAGGGCUCGUAGGCGGCCAACUAAGUCAGACGUGAAAUCCCUCGGCUUAACCGGGGAACUGCGUCUGAUACUGGAUGGCUUGAAUCCGGGAGAGGGAUGCGGAAUUCCAGGUGUAGCGGUGAAAUGCGUAGAUAUCUGGAGGAAUACCGACGGCGAAGGCAGCUUACUGGGCAUUAUCUGACGCUGAGGCGCGAAAGCGUGGGUAGCAAACAGG
rnacentral:rRNA from 1 species